rnacentral:pre_miRNA from 1 species
AAUAGAUGACGUCGUUGAUUUUUUAUCAUACGUUUGACCAUUCGUUUUAUUAAAAAAAUUUACGUAAUUAUAAUUUAUUUUGUUAUGAGUUGUUUUAUCACUCAAAGUACUUUAAGCAUAAUUUAUAUCUAUACGUUUACAUAAAAUUUUUUAAAUAAGACGAAUGGUCAAACAUAUGUUUAAAAGUCAACGGCGCCAUCUAUU